rnacentral:rRNA from 1 species
CCUACGGGAGGCAGCAGUGGGGAAUAUUGGACAAUGGGCGAAACGUGAUCCAGCCAUGUCGCGUGUGUGAAGAAGGUCUUCGGAUUGUAAAGCACUUUAAGUUGGGAGGAAGGGCAGUAAGUUAAUACCUUGCUGUUUUGACGUUACCGACAGAAUAAGCACCGGCUAACUCUGUGCCAGCAGUCGCGGUAAUACAGAGGGUGCAAGCGUUAAUCGGAAUUACUGGGCGUAAAGCGCGCGUAGGUGGUUUGUUAAGUUGGAUGUGAAAGCCCCGGGCUCAACCUGGGAACUGCAUCCAAAACUGGCAAGCUAGAGUACGGUAGAGGGUGGUGGAAUUUCCUGUGUAGCGGUGAAAUGCGUAGAUAUAGGAAGGAACACCAGUGGCGAAGGCGACCACCUGGACUGAUACUGACACUGAGGUGCGAAACGGUGGGGAGCAAACAGGGUUAGAUACCCUGGUAGUCCACGCCGUAAACGAUGUCAACUAGCCGUUGGAAUCCUUGAGAUUUUAGUGGCGCCAGUAACGCAUUAAGUUGACCGCCUGGGGAGUACGGCCGCAAGGUUAAAACUCAAAGGAAUUGACGG